UACAGAGGGUGCGAGCGUUAAUCGGAAUGACUGGGCGUAAAGGGCGCGUAGGUGGUUAUGUAAGAUGGAUGUGAAAUCCCUGGGCUUAACCUAGGAACAGCAUCGGUGACUGCAUAGCUGGAGUACUGUAGAGGGUAGUGGAAUUUCCGGUGUAGCGGUGAAAUGCGUAGAGAUCGCAAGAACACCAGUGGCGAAGGCGGCUCACUGGCCCGGUACUGACGCUGAGGUGCGAAAGCGUGGGGAGCAAACAGG
rnacentral:rRNA from 1 species